UGACUNGAGUGCAGAAGGGGAGAGUGGAAUUCCAUGUGUAGCGGUGAAAUGCGUAGAUAUAUGGAGGAACACCAGUGGCGAAAGCGGCUCUCUGGUCUGUCACUGACGCUGAGGCUCGAAAGCGUGGGUAGCGAACAGGAUUAGAUACCCUGGUAGUCCACGCCGUAAACGAUGAGUGCUAGGUGUUAGGCCCUUUCCGGGGCUUAGUGCCGGAGCUAACGCAAUAAGCACUCCGCCUGGGGAGUACGACCGCAAGGUUGAAACUCAAAGGAAUUGACGGGGGCCCGCACAAGCGGUGGAGCAUGUGGUUUAAUUCGAAGCAACGCGAAGAACCUUACCAGGUCUUGACAUCCCGAUGCUAUUCUUAGAGAUAGGAAGUUACUUCGGUACAUCGGAGACAGGUGGUGCAUGGUUGUCGUCAGCUCGUGUCGUGAGAUGUUGGGUUAAGUCCCGCAACGAGCGCAACCCUUAUUGUUAGUUGCCAUCAUUAAGUUGUGCACUCUAGCGAGACUGCCGGUAAUAAACCGGAGGAAGGUGGGGAUGACGUCAAAUCAUCAUGCCCCUUAUGACCUGGGCUACACACGUGCUACAAUGGUCGGUACAACGAGUUGCGAGCCGGUGACGGCAAGCUAAUCUCUGAAAGCCGAUCUCAGUUCGGAUUGGAGGCUGCAACUCGCCUCCAUGAAGUCGGAAUCGCUAGUAAUCGCGGAUCAGCACGCCGCGGUGAAUACGUUCCCGGGCCUUGUACACACCGCCCGUCACACCACGAGAGUUUGUAACACCCGAAGUCGGUGAGGUAACCUUUUAGGGGCC
rnacentral:rRNA from 1 species